rnacentral:lncRNA from 9 species
GUUGCUCUGCCACCCCCCGCUGGCUUUGAUCUCAGUCCCUUGGAGCUUGGCCUGAGCUUUGAGGUCCCCCGCUGGGCUGCCCCAGGCUGUAACUCCAGUGCACAGGGACGCAGUCUCACAAUAUCACAGUCUGGAUCUGGCCUCCUGCCUGCUGGGCUAUGGAUUCCCCCCACCUCCACCCCCCGCCCCCGCUGAGGGACACAGGGGGAGGUAACAAAGGAAAAAGGUGACUUUGGGCCAGACCGGGGAGAGGUUUGCAGGCCGAGGGCAGCUAGGCAGACACACUUUGAUGGGCAAAGAGAGCCACACAUCCUGGCCUUCUGAGUGGCGUGGAAGACCUGAGGGGGUGGUGGGAGGUCAUGGUCAGGAAUCCAGGCUCUGGGUGGGAAGACCUGUUCACAUUCCAGCCUAAGCCAUUUAUUCCCUGUGCAGCCAUUGCCAAGUUCUUGAACCACUGUGAGCCUCUGUUUGCUCAUCUGUAAAAGAGGGGUGAUAAGAUGAGAUACGUCGAAGGGUUGCUAUGAGAAUUACAUGAAGAGAUAUAUGUGAAAGUGCCUGGCUCGUUGUAUUCACUCUAAACUGUAGUGUCAUGGAUGCUGAGGUCUCAGCUGACUUUGGGAGGAAUCAGAGCCAGCUCUUUAGAAGCACAGCCUACAGUGGUUCUUGGAGCCUUUUCUCUGCCUUCUGCAUGACGGGACUCUAACUCCCACUUUCUUGGACCCUCGUUCUCUUUUCUCUCUGGCUCAUAGCCCGGGUUGGAUUUAACGAAUUUUGAGGGACAGCCAUCCGCCCUUCUUUCAUCGUCCUGCUCCGGCUGCUUCUGCUCCCAGCUGCCCAGUGGAUCUUCCAGCCCUGUUCAAAGUCCUCGAUGACUCCCUGUGACCACAGAGGAAAUAGCAACCUCCUCAGCUUUUAAUGACAUUAGGAAGAAGUGAUGUGACUUACAGGAUGGGCCAUCGAAACCAGUGUCUGCAGGACCUUACGUAUCCAUUCGAAAGAUCCAGAAGACAAACUAAACUUUUCCUUUUCCAUUCAGAUGUUUUCCUGCUGGGUGGCCAAAAAGUCUGAAACAACUGAAUUCCUGGGCGCUCCACAAACCUCUCCCAGUCCCCAACUUUCACAAGUGUUUUAUUCCCAAACUCUGUCCAGAUGAAAGAAAGGCCAGUGCUAACACUGAACACACGAGUCCAGGAACCAGAGGUAUGAGUAGAAACAAAGACUCUGGUUUUGCCAGGUAAAUGUUGUCAAAUAUAUGAACAUACAAAUAUAUUUAUCUCCAGUGGGUUGUAAACAGAGCGUGCAUCUCAUACAAUGUCCAAAUUCACUUGCAAGAAGAUGGUAACUGGUUUUGGAGCAUCCCACGUGUCUGAAGCCAAGGAUCCUCCCUUGCUGCGUGAUUCAGGAGAUUUGGAAAUGUUCUGCAAGCAAUGUGGUUUUAAAAUGAAGCCCAGUACAAGCUUUUGAUCUGUAUGUGAUAGUCCGUGUGCAUGAGCAACUCUACUGUAUCGACAGCCUCAAUUUAAACACUCCUCACGUACAGAAUCUGGAUUUAUUAUUUUGCUUUGGGAAACACACGUCUUUUGACUUUUCUACAUCUAUGAUCCCUGGAGAGGUGAGGUCAGAGUCCUGGGGUCUUUCUAAGGUCAGCACCCAAGUGUAGCCUUGGCAGCUUUAGGGCCAUUGGCACAUGUGCCAUAAACAAUCGCUGUUCCAGGGGGAACCAGUAAAAAUCUUUCCCUGAACGCAUCGUGGGUCACAACAGGAGGAAACACUCCAUCACGGAAAAGUGACACUAAUGUAUUCUAUUAGAUUUGCUUAUCAUGUUAAAGAGCAUAUUAAAAGGAAAUGUUUGGAAAAGAGAUGCCAUAACCGGGUCUGAUGGAUUGAGAAUUCCUAAUUUGGAAAAAAUGUGCUAAGACAACAUGAUUGAUGUGAGUGACCUACUUUAUUUUAUAAGAAAGUAUGAGUUGCCUUGGGCUUAUUGGUACACAUAUUUGGAAAAAGUUGGUUUUUUUCCACAUUAAGUUUUUAUUAACAUUUUCAAAAGCGCAGAAACACCAUAGAAGGCUAUAAGUUGUGACUUGUCAAUGCAGAUGUGUGUGUAGUCACUCGCUGCCUUAGAAAAAUUUAUCCCCUUGCUGGAAGGGUUUCUGAAUGAGGAGUUUCUUGCCAAGCAAAUACCUGUUGGGGGAAAAGAUGAUACCUUUUUGACUGAGAGAAGAUGACAAGAAGGGGGCGUUUUUGUUUAAAACACAAAUGGAUCUUCUCCACCGUGUAGAAAAAAUACACGGCAGAAAACUUAGAAUGAUUUCCAUUUCAUGGUGCCUCCUGGCGACCUUCCCGCUGCACGGAGUGAACAGGAUUGGGCUGAGUUAACCGUUUUAUUUUGACUUUAGAAGCUGGAACCCCCAGGGGAGGCUCCCCAUUGUCAAAUGAAGCUACUUGGUCUGGAAGUUGGGAAUUUGGGGGUUAUCCCAGGAAACAGAAGGAACUGUGAAGGCUCCAAGGAGGGUUGGUGGCUGACAGAAUACUACUAUUAAAAUAAUGUUGCCAGUGAGGUUAAGAACUUAAGAAAUGCCUGUUGUAUAAUGUUCGUUGAGGAAGGGGAGAUGUGAAGCAGAAAUAUGUAUUUAAAAGCAGAGGUGGGAGAAUAAGUUUUCUGAAGGCAACUUGUCAGCUUCGUCGCAAAAGCCUUUUGCAUCCAGAAAGUCCACUUCUAGAAAUUUCUCCUAAAGAAAGAAUCAUAAUAUUCAUAAAUAUUUUGGUAAUGAGGUGUUUACUCUAGAAUCACAAUAUUGCAAAAUGGACUCAACUGUUCAAAGUGAGAGGAUCGCUUAAAUAAAUUCAUACAUUUAAUGCAGUCAUUAAAAUGCUAAUGUAGAAUAAUAACAUGGAAAAAAGGUUGGAUAACAUUUUAUUAAGUAGGAAAGGUGGAUUAGAAAACAAUAUUCAUGUUAUGAUGCUGUCUGUGAGAUUUGGUAUACAUUCUACUUAAUUCAUAGACAUAUAUGUUUGUCUACUUCAGUAGAUAUAUGCACAGUGUUAUAUAUUAUGAUACUCUUUAAGUACCUAUGUGUGUGUAUAUAUAUAUAUCAUACUUUUUUGAAGGACAUUCAUCAAAAUCUUAACAAUGUCUAUUUCAGAAGAAUUGAUUUUACAGGUAGUGUUCGCUUCUUUCCUUUUUUAUGUUUUCAUUUUCUGUAAUAGGCUAAUAAGUCAAGCAGUUAUUAAAUGGAAAAUCCAAGAGACUCCACUGAUUACUUAAUAGAAAAAAUAAGAGAGUUUGCAAGGAUUCCCAGACACAAACUAGCUUUCUUAUAUAAUAGUAAUAAGUUGAAAAUAUAAAAUGAAAAUUAUUCCAUUCACCAUAGCAAAAACAAAACAAAGCAUAAAUCGCCCACAAAACUGAAAAUACAGUGACUUAUUCAUGCAAGAAAUAUCUAAGACCUGUUUAGAAGCAAAUAUUGAAGUAUAUCAAAGGAAAUCUAAAUAAACUAAAUACUGUAUUUCUGCUUGGGAUGGCUAAACGUUGUGAAGAUUUCAAUUCUCCUCCAAGUUAGUUUAUAAUUUUCAGUUAAAUUUCUGAUUAAAAGAACAAAUUGAUUCGAACUUUUGUCUAGGAGAUUGGAUGGAUACAUGAGAAUAAACAAUUUUUGUAAAAAAAUAAAAGAGGAUGCUUGCUUUAUUGGAUUUUAAAAGAUAAUACAAAGUCAGAAUAAUAAGCAUUAUGACAAGGUUGUAGGAAGAUCAUAUAGAUAAAUGAAUAAAAUAGAGUGUAAGAUAGAAUAAAAUAGGCUAAUAAAAUAAAGUGUAUAUAUGGGAAUCUAGUAUCUGAUAAAGAUUGUAUUUCUUGUUAGUGGAGAAAGACUAAAUAUUUUUCCAUAAACAAUGCUGGAAUAAUUAGUUACCCAUCUGGAGGAGGGAAAAAUUGAGUUUUCACCUCAUGCCACAUUCACACACACAAAAUACAUUGCAAUGUAAUGAAGAUGUAUAUACAUUUUGAAAAAUUAUAAAAAUAGGAAAAGAAACUAAAAAAAUAAGAAUUCCAUAAUCUUGAGACUGAGAAGGCCUUUCUUGAAAAGAGAUACACCUCAGAAUCCAGAAAGGAAAAAAUUAAAAAUUUCACCUGCACAAUUAUUUAAGUUUUGUGUGUGCAAAACACAUACCAUAAACAGAAGAUAAAUGAGGGGAAAAUGUAUGACAAACAGUAGAUUGAGGGCUUUAUUAUAUAAAGUGCUGUUUUAAAUUAAGAAAAAUACCAGGUCGGGGGGAGGGAAAGAUUGGGGAGCUUGGGAUGGCACGGGCACACUAUGGUAUACGGAAUGCAGGGUAAAUGGAGCCCUGCGUAUAGCCCCUGAAAAUCUCCUCAAUAUUCUGUGAUAACCUAUAUGGGAAUGGAUAUGUGCAUAUGUGUAACUGAAUCACGCUGCUGUACAGCAGAAAUGAACACAACACUGUAAGUCAACUCUACUUCAAUAAAAAUUUCUAAAAAUUUUUUAAAAGAUAUGAAAAAAUAGCAUCAUUCCAAGAGAAAAAUUGGGCUGCCACCCAAGCAAGCUUUUUGCAAAAGAAAUACAAUAGCCACUAAACAUAGAAAAAAGAAAAAAGAUGCUCAGCCUCAUGAACACUUAAGCAACUUAAAAUUUGAACACAAUUUCAUUUUCACCCAUCACUACCAAAAUUCGAAAAAGCAAUGAUAAAAUGCAACAUAUUGAGGAGGUAGAGAAAUAUUUUGAUCCUGUAAUCUCACUUCAGGGAUUACCCUGUGGAAAUAGUCACAAAAUAGUCCAAUGCUGGGAUACUCUGCAGUUGGUUGAAGGAAGGCGGCAGACCUAGGCAUGGAUAGCAAGAAAGCCCAAGAGAGCGAUGUAUGUGUGAUCCCAAAUUCCAUUUCAGAAGCGUGCAUGGUUAGUUGAAUAUUGAGAAGAAACUUUACAGCAGACUAUCAAGGAUCGUAGGAUGGGGGAGGCACUGUCACCAACUUUUUCCUCUUCUGCCACAUUUACAUGUCUUAUGAUCAUGGGUCACCUUUAAAAUAAAAAACAAAUGCACAUCUGUGAUAACCUAUGCGGGAAAAAAAUCUGAAAAAGAAUGGAUGUAUGUACAUGUAUACCUGAAUCUCUUUGUUGUAUAGCAGAAAUUAUCACAACAUUGUAAUCAACGAUACUUCAAUAAAACUUAAAAGAACAAACAAAAAAUGAUGCACACCUGCCAGCUGUGCCCAGU